GUGGGGAAUAUUGGGCAAUGGGCGCAAGCCUGACCCAGCAACGCCGCGUGAAGGAAGAAGGCUUUCGGGUUGUAAACUUCUUUUACCAGGGACGAAACAAAUGACGGUACCUGGUGAAUAAGCCACGGCUAACUACGUGCCAGCAGCCGUGGUAAUACGUAGGUGGCGAGCGUUAUCCGGAUUUAUUGGGUGUAAAGGGCGUGUAGGCGGGACAGCAAGUCAGAUGUGAAAACCAGAGGCUCAACCUCUGGCCUGCAUUUGAAACUGUUGUUCUUGAGUGUCGGAGAGGUAAUCGGAAUUCCGUGUGUAGCGGUGAAAUGCGUAGAUAUACGGAGGAACACCAGUGGCGAAGGCGGAUUACUGGACGAUAACUGACGCUGAGGCGCGAAAGCGUGGGGAGCAAACAGGAUUAGAUACCCGGGUAGUCC
rnacentral:rRNA from 1 species